rnacentral:rRNA from 1 species
CGGAAAGAGCCCAAACCAAGAAGCUUGCUUCUUGGGGUUGUAGGACACUCUAUACGGAGUUACAAAAGAAAGUUAUAAAUGAAGCGGUCUGGAAAGGCCCGCCAAAGACGGUAACAGCCCGGUAGUUGAAAUGGCUUUCCCUCCAGAGUGGAUCCUGAGUACGGCGGAACACGUGAAAUUCCGUCGGAAUCCGGGAGGACCAUCUCCCAAGGCUAAAUACUCCCUAGUGACCGAUAGUGAACCAGUACCGUGAGGGAAAGGUGAAAAGCACCCCGGAAGGGGAGUGAAACAGUUCCUGAAACCGUGUGCCUACAAGUAGUUAGAGCCCGUUAAUGGGUGAUAGCGUGCCUUUUGUAGAAUGAACCGGCGAGUUACGAUUUGUUGCAAGGUUAAGCGGAAAAAGCGGAGCCGUAGCGAAAGCGAGUCUGAAUAGGGCGCAUAAGUAACAGGUCGUAGACCCGAAACCAGGUGAUCUACCCAUGUCCAGGAUGAAGGUAAGGUAAUACUUACUGGAGGUCCGAACCCACGCACGUUGAAAAGUGCGGGGAUGAGGUGUGGGUAGCGGAGAAAUUCCAAUCGAACUUGGAGAUAGCUGGUUCUCUCCGAAAUAGCUUUAGGGCUAGCCUCGAGGUAAAGAGUCAUGGAGGUAGAGCACUGUUUGGACUAGGGGCCCUUCUCGGGUUACCGAAUUCAGAUAAACUCCGAAUGCCAUGUACUUAUACUCGGGAGUCAGACUGCGAGUGAUAAGAUCCGUAGUCGAAAGGGAAACAGCCCAGACCACCAGUUAAGGUCCCCAAAUAUAUGUUAAGUGGAAAAGGAUGUGGGGUUGCUUAGACAACCAGGAUGUUGGCUUAGAAGCAGCCACCAUUGAAAGAGUGCGUAAUAGCUCACUGGUCGAGUGACCCCGCGCCGAAAAUGUACCGGGGCUAAACAUAUUACCGAAACUGUGGAUGAACCUCUUUAGAGGUUCGUGGUAGGAGAGCGUUCUAAGGGCGGUGAAGUCAGACCGGAAGGACUGGUGGAGCGCUUAGAAGUGAGAAUGCCGGUAUGAGUAGCGAAAGAAGGGUGAGAAUCCCUUCCACCGAAUAUCUAAGGUUUCCUGAGGAAGGCUCGUCCGCUCAGGGUUAGUCGGGACCUAAGCCGAGGCCGAUAGGCGUAGGCGAUGGACAACAGGUAGAGAUUCCUGUACCAGUGCUAAUUGUUUAACCGAUGGGGUGACACAGAAGGAUAGGGAAUCGCACGAAUGGAAAUGUGCGUCCAAGCAGUGAGUGUGAGAAGUAGGCAAAUCCGCUUCUCGCGAAGCAUGAGCUGUGAUGGGGAAGGAAAUUAAGUACGGAAGUUCCUGAUUUCACGCUGUCAAGAAAAGCCUCUAGGAAGAGUAGUACUGCCCGUACCGCAAACCGACACAGGUAGAUGAGGAGAGAAUCCUAAGGUGAGCGAGAGAACUCUCGUUAAGGAACUCGGCAAAAUGACCCCGUAACUUCGGGAGAAGGGGUGCUCUAUUAGGGUGCAAGCCCGAGAGAGCCGCAGUGAAUAGGCCCAGGCGACUGUUUAGCAAAAACACAGGUCUCUGCAAAACCGUAAGGUGACGUAUAGGGGCUGACGCCUGCCCGGUGCUGGAAGGUUAAGAGGAGUGCUUAGCUUCGGCGAAGGUACGAAUUGAAGCCCCAGUAAACGGCGGCCGUAACUAUAACGGUCCUAAGGUAGCGAAAUUCCUUGUCGGGUAAGUUCCGACCCGCACGAAAGGCGCAACGAUCUGGGCACUGUCUCAACGAGAGACUCGGUGAAAUUAUAGUACCUGUGAAGAUGCAGGUUACCCGCGACAGGACGGAAAGACCCCGUGGAGCUUUACUGCAACCUGAUAUGGAAUGUUUGUACCGCUUGUACAGGAUAGGUAGGAGCCGAAGAGACGUGUGCGCUAGCAUACGAGGAGGCAAUGGUGGGAUACUACCCUGGCUGUAUGACCAUUCUAAC